CAGAUGUGUAUAAGAGACAGGUGAAUCAUCGAAUCUUUGAACGCACAUUGCGCCCCUUGGUAUUCCGGGGGGCAUGCCUGUUCGAGCGUCAUUUCAACCCUCAAGCUCUGCUUGGUCUUGGGCCGCGUCGGCAACGGCGGGCCUCAAAAACAGUGGCGGCGCCAUCGUGUUCCUCAGCGUAGUAAUUCUUCUCGCUGUUGGGCCCCGGUGGCCGCUGGCCAGCAACCCCUAACUUUCUAUGGUUGACCUCGGAUCAGGUAGGGAUACCCGCUGAACUUAAGCAUAUCAAUAAGCGGAGGA
rnacentral:misc_RNA from 1 species